GACAGAGGUCCCGAGCGUUAGGCGGAAUCACUGGGCUUAAAGCGUGUGUAGGCGGAUCUGUAAGUACCUUGUGAAAUCCCACGGCUUAACCGUGGAACUGCUCGGUAUACUGCGGAUCUUGAGCCACCUAGGGGCGAGCGGAACAAGUGGUGGAGCGGUGAAAUGCGUAGAUAUCACUUGGAACGCCAAUGGUGAAAACAGCUCGCUGGGGGUGUGCUGACGCUGAGACACGAAAGCCAGGGGAGCGAACGGG
rnacentral:rRNA from 1 species